rnacentral:rRNA from 1 species
UACAGAGGCCCCGAGCGUUAGGCGGAAUCACUGGGCUUAAAGCGUGUGUAGGCGGACUUGUAAGUACCUUGUGAAAUCCCACGGCUCAACCGUGGAACUGCUUGGUAUACUGCUUGUCUUGAGCCACUUAGGGGCUACCGGAACAAAUGGUGGAGCGGUGAAAUGCGUAGAUAUCAUUUGGAACGCCAAUGGUGAAAACAGGUAGCUGGGAGUGUGCUGACGCUGAGACACGAAAGCCAGGGGAGCGAACGGG